rnacentral:rRNA from 1 species
AUUGAACGCUGGCGGCAUGCUUUACACAUGCAAGUCGAACGGGGUGGUGGGCAACCUGCCAUUCAGUGGCGAACGGGUGAGUAAUGCAUCGGAACGUGUCCUUGAGUGGGGAGUAACCGCGAAGACCGGACUAAUACGCAUACGCUCUACGGAAGAAAGUGGGGGAGUCCGCAAGGACCUCAUGCGCAAGGGGCGGCCGAUGUCCGAUUAGCUAGUUGGUGGGGUAAUGGCCCACCAAGGCUGCGAUCGGUAGCCGGUCUGAGAGGAUGAUCAGCCACACUGGGACUGAGACACGGCCCAGACUCCUACGGGAGGCAGCAGGUGGGGUAAUUUUGGACAAGUGGGGGCAACCCUGAUCCAGCCAUGCCGCGUGCGGAAGAA